UUUUUUUUUUUUUUUUUUUUUUUUUUUUUUUUUACAUAUAGCUAAGUUAGAUUCUAGGCAGUCGUUGAUCCGACCCUGGGCAUGGAUAGCUAAGUCAUUGCCCUAUGUAGGAAUUUACCAAUAUCUAGGAAGAGGGAAGUUAGUGACCUAAGGAGGAACCAGAGUAGAUACUUAGAACUAUAGAUAGCUGAGUUACACCCAUAUACAAGUGUUUACAAUGGCCUAGGGGGAACAGGAACCCAGACCCCUUAAUGAGGGCAAUGCCACAGCAGGUUUGCAUAUCAGGCAGAGUAUAGGCAUUACACAGGAAUAGUUCCGCCACACACUCUCAUUCUUUUUGUUUGGUUUUUUUUUUUUUUUCAUUUUUAAAAUUCUAUUUAUUUAUUUAUUUGUUUGUUUAUUGUAUGUAAGUACACUGUAGCUGUCUUCAGACACUCCAGAAGAGAGCAUCAGAUCUCAGUACAGAUGGUUGUGAGCCACCAUGUGGAUGCUGGGAUUUGAACUCAGGACCUCCGGAAGACCAGUCAGUGCUCUUUUUUUAAAAUAUUUUUUAUUGGGUAUUUUCCUCAUUUACAUUUCCAAUGCUAUCCCAAAAGUCCCCCAUUCCCUCCGCCCACUCCCCUACCGACCCACUCCCACUUUUUGGCCAUGGCGUUCCCCUGUACUGGGACAUAUAAAAUUUGCAUGACCAAUGGACCUCUUUCCAGUGAUGGCCGACUAGGCCAUCUUUUGAUACAUAUGCAUCUAGAGACAAGAGCUCCGGGGUACUGGUUCAUUCAUAUUGUUGUCCCACCUAUAGGGUUGCAGUUCCCUUUAGCUCCUUGGGUGCUUUCUCUAGCUGCUCCAUUGGGGGCCCUGUGAUCCAUCCAAUAGCUGACUGUGAGCAUCCACUUUUGUGUGUGCUAGGCCCCGGCAUAGUCAGAUGCACUAAAAGAAACACUCUCAUUCUUUACAUCAUUAAAAUACUAAUAGGUUGAGACAACAAUUUGGUAUUUCUAGAAAAUGUGCAUGUCAAUUUAUAAAAACUUGUCUUCAGUGUCCUCAAUUUCUUCCUGUACUACAUAAUGGUGUUAAUCCUUGAGAACACAUACCUAAUCAAGUAUGGCAAAUGGAUGUUACUUAUAUAUCUGAAUUUAAGAAAUGUUAAACAAUGUACAUAUGGGUAUUGAUAUCUUCUCAUGCUUUCUAUUUGCAACUGCUUUAACAGGAUAAGCAACUAAAUAAGGAACUAGUCAUUGCCUACAUUGUUUUUCUAUUCUUGAUGUUCAAAAUGACAGGAAGACAUAAAGUUACUGGCCAUUACAGUCAGGCAUUUGUGAUGUUUUGUUAACAAUUUAAUACUUGUCAUAUUACUGGGAUUCCUUAUUAUUCUCAAAGACUAGGUAUUGUGGAGCACACCCAUGGAACUUUAAAACAAUUCUCAAUUUAGCACAAUCUUCAAUCAUAUGGUAGGAAAGUCUCAAGGAGGCAUCAUCUGAAUCAGGUUAGCCUUUCACAAUAGCUGUGGGAUACUGUCAUAGUUAUAUUAAUUAAGAUGAAGAGACUUAGCACGGUUAAGUUGCUCCAUUUCCUAAGCAGGGACCCUGGUUGUAAAAGAAUGGAGAAAGUGAACUGUGCACUAGCAAAAAUGCUCUGAGACUCCUGCUCUUGACUGUCGAUAGGUGUGCACUCUUGUUGCAGGCUCUUGACAUUGCAACAUUUUACCACCAUGAACCAUACUACGGAACUAUGAGCUAAAAUGACCCUUUCUUUCCCAUUUGCUUUUCCUAGGGUAUUUUAUUGUAAGAAUAGCAUUGAGACGUACCAAUAAAUUUAAACAUUUUGUU
rnacentral:lncRNA from 1 species